AAGACACUUUUGUCUACAUAUUUCAUUUCUCUUUUUUGUGGACUAAAAAUGAAAACUUGCUUUAUCAUAGACUCUUCUGAAACAAAAGGUUGCCAUUAAUUGCUCUGGAGAGCUGAAAUUUAGGACAGGUUUGUUGAAAGAUAUGAAACUCUCUUACCUCUGUGUGUACUUAAUGUAUAUUUGUUUAAAACAGCUAAACAGGAAUUCAGCAAGCUUAAAGAAACCAAGUGUACCAUCUUACGGAAUAAGAAGAACAGAGUUCUUGUAUUAGUAGAAGAAAAAGGAAAGGAAAAGGCUGUAUUUGAGGAGAUACCUGAUAAAGAAAUUCCAAAAAAUGCACCUCGGACUCAAUUUAUAAUACAAUAUUAUAAAGAAACUGUGCCUACAGGGUUCGUUGUAGCCAUCUCUGUGAAGACGGAGAAAAAGAUUUACACAAUGUCCUGCAAGGACAAAAAACUGCAUUUUAAGGAAGGUGAAGCCCCCCAGAAAAUCAAAGACAAAGAAAAGGAUGUCCUAUUCUAUGAAGAGAAUAUUAAAGGCCAAGAUAAAAGGCGAUUUAAAUCUGUAUUGUACCCAGAAUACUACCUGGCGAGUAAGCCAGAAAAGAAAAAUUUUAAACUGAUUUUAAAGAAAGGGUGCCAAGAUAAGGAAGGGUCUGCAGACUUCAUUGUACAAACCUGUUCAAAAAAAGAUUAAUAGAAUGAUAGUUUUAAUCUUAGAAUAUAUCUUAAAGAUAAGAGUAAAUCACUGGGGUCUUAAGCCUCAAAAGGUUAAAAAUUAGAGAUAUAUUUAUUCACAGAGGGAUUAUCUAAUUGACACUUGUGGGAAUAUUGGUUAUAAAAAACAUAUAUUUAAGCCUAUGUCUAAAUUCAAGAAACUAUAAGUUAGGAUUAGUUUAAAAUACUAGUAAUGAUGAUGAUGGAAAACUUUGAAUUUGUGAUUCUCUCAUAUAUUAUUAUUAUAAAGUAUAAAUGUAACAGAACAGAAUUAUUGUUCAUAAAUCCAAUGAAUCCAAUAAUAUAAGCCUAAAUUACAAUUGAGUCAUAAAGUGAUUCUGAGUGCAUUCCCUGAGGGAACAGUGUUCCUUAUGCUAGGAUUUAGUGAGUUAUCAAGAUUGGCUGAAGAAGAUACCUUGCUACACAACACCUAAUCUCUUAAUAAUCAAAGCCUCAACAACAGUGAUACUGAGGAUAUUUUAAUGUGGUUCAUAGGUAUUCACAGUCAAAGAAUACAUUGUCUUCUGGCUAACCUUCUUAUAUUUUUCAGCCUCUCCAUAAUUAGCUGGGCUAGUCCUCAGAUGGUAGAUGCACACUGACUCUAGCACUGUAUUUAAAGUUAUUUUUAGCCUGGUAGAACCUGCUGGCAUUGCCUUUGAAAAUCCAUUAUCUUCUAUACAUCUCUACUAGAGAAUGAGGUCAAUAACUCUUCCUCACUUAAACCCAAUUGACACACAAGUCAAGAUAUUGCCCCAUGAUGCCAUUGGUCCUCUUCAAAAAUAAAAGACCAACUAUACAACACACAUCACCUCUAUACACUGAGGUAUCAACGCAAUAGUUAAGGCAGAUAGACGUGCCUUGGGUUUGCGUCCCCCAAUUCUCAUUGCUGUGUGAUCUCUGACAAGUUCUUUAACCUUUCUGAGGCCUCAAAGAGAGGGAGAGAGACAAAGACAGACAGAUAUGUCUUGAGUAUGUCUCCUGAUUCCCAUUAGCUGUAUGACCAUUAGCAAGUUCUUUAAUCUUUCUGAGGUCUCAGAGAGAGAGAGAAAGAGAAAAAGAAACAGAGACUGAGAGACAGAGACAGGCAGAGAGAUUAUUGAAAUAGGGUUGAGAUAGAGAUAAAGGUAGAAAUAGCACUCACCUCAUAACCUUGUGAGUUGUCUUAUUACACAAAGUUGUAUCAUUACAAAAAAGGAAUGUGAGUCCUCAGAAAAGUUAAGGAAUUUGCCAGUGAUCACACAGUUAAUGAGAAUCAGGGGAUUUAAAUCAAAGGCAUUUAACACCCAUCUGAUUCCCAUGCUCUUUCCACUCUAACAGCUUGCUUCUACCAAAACAUCAGGCUCUUGCAUAUACCUCGAGUAUUCAUUUUAGCUCCCCCACUGGAUGGUGAUCCAAAAUUAGUUACAUAACAAACAAUUGCACACAUGACUUGCUUUUUGAUCUGCCUAGGGAUGACAAAAGCAUCAAGGGAUUAUCUUUAAGGGAAUUUCCUGAAGCAUUCCACCAAGGGGACAGCUGAAGCCUUGCAAACCUUGAGAACACAUUCCAUAUCCCUGCCAAUUCCAUAACUAGAACAGCUUGACCCUUCUCUCACUGCUCUCGCUAUUCUGGCUUAAAGCCCUGAUCAGUCCUUAAUUUCCUGUAUGGCACCCCACUCUUUAUUUUGACGUUCCAAUCUCAUCAUCUAGUCUACAUUUGUGAACCAAACACCAAACGAAUGAAUUUAAGUUGCUAUUUUAUUUAGAAGGGAAAGGUAAAAUUAUAUAAUGGUACAGGCAAAUACUAAGUAAUAACAAAAUUACCUGUUCAAGGAUACUCUCACAUUUCAUUGUGAAUUACUUGGUUGCUCUCCAGUAAGAUUUUUUUGCUCCAUCUGGUUUCCCUGGGUAUGUUAGCCCAACCUUGGCAUCAAGCAUGCUGUUAAUAUGUGGCUUGAAGUCCACCACCUGUUUCCACGUUUUCUUAUACCCAACACCAAGGGGCAUCUGUACUUCUCACAACCCAAUCCACUGGACUUGGCUCUGUCAAGCUUCCAGCUCCCUGGACUUAGACCCUUGCUAAAUGUAUAAGCAGUGCAUCUUUGCCUUUGUGCAAUUAGAAAAUCACUCCAAUGGUGAUAGUUCCCUCUGGGCAUUUCUCCCAUUACACUCUAAAUUAUCCAAGGAAAUUCCAAGGGAAAGGAACUAAAAUUUGUAUAAAAGUCUAAAAGAAAUGUAGUGAGAUACCUUUUUUUUUCACUGUGACAAAGCAGAGACAAGAUUAAUUCAAUUAUGUAAAAACUAAAAACUUUCAUACCACAAAUGAUAAGAUUAAGAUAAAAAGAAAAUAUCCUGAUAAAUAUGACAAAUGAGUAUUUGGUUCCACAUUUUAUAGGUAAUACAAUAUAAGUCUGUCAGGGUAGCACCCAGUCACCAAGGUACAAAAAUAGUCAAAAGAUUUAUAAAGACAAUUAACCAAAGAAGGAGAGAUAAAUAACAAAUUGGGGAAAUGAUCAAAUAUUAAAACAAGUUCAAAUUUAAACAGUUAGGGAAGAUCAGUGAUAGUCCUCUCUCUUAUCACGUUAAAUUAACAAAGAAAGAGAGAGACAGACAGAGACUAUACAUUCCAUUAUUAGUAGAAUGUGGGGAAGAAUGUACAUUCAAAUGCUGCUGGUGGCAACAUACAAGAGGGAAAUCUUUUUGGAGAGCUAUUGGUCAAUUCACAAUAAGAAUCACCAGUCUGAGCUUACCCUUUGCCUUUACCCCAUUACUAGGAAUGUAUUAGAGGGAAAUUACUCAAAAUACAAAUCAAUCUGCUUAUACAGAUAAGAUAUUUAUAUGAGAAAAAAAAUUACCUAGAAGUCCAAAGUUUAGAGAUUACCAGGAAAGGCUGGGCUAUAUUAAUGAAAUUGAGCAUCCUAUUAGUAUUAAGAAUGAAAAACAUGGAGUCUAUGCAGAAAUUAGGAAAAGUCUAUGUAAAGUCAAAACAAAAUGAGAUAAAUCAAAAUGAAAUGGAUGUAUUUGCUUAUAACUAUGGGUAAUCGUGAUUUAAAAGUUACAAAGCACUAUGCUUCAUUGUUGUUGUUUCAGUGUUUGUUACCACAUAUUUAGUUGAAUGUUCAAUCCACAAAAAUCUCUUCCUCCCCCCACAU